UACGUAGGGUGCGAGCGUUGUCCGGAAUUAUUGGGCGUAAAGGGCUCGUAGGCGGUUUGUCGCGUCGGGAGUGAAAACGCCGUGCUUAACACGGCGCUUGCUUUCGAUACGGGCAGACUAGAGGUAUGCAGGGGGAGAACGGAAUUCCUGGUGUAGCGGUGAAAUGCGCAGAUAUCAGGAGGAACACCGGUGGCGAAGGCGGUUCUCUGGGCAUUACCUGACGCUGAGGAGCGAAAGUGUGGGGAGCGAACAGG
rnacentral:rRNA from 1 species